GUUUUAUAAAAUAGAAAGUUAGUUAUCUCUUGAUUUUCGGUGGCCAUAUAUAGCCAACACUGACACUGGCUAUCUGAUUUUAUAAAAUAGCAAGACUGUUGUGGAUAUAUUCUUUUUUAAUAAUUUUUUUUAUUUUACAAAAUGGCUAAACGAUAAAAUUUAGCUAUUAAUUGUAGCCAAACUCUUGGAGUUGCUCUUACAUUAUUUGUAGUGUGGAUAGCCAUUACAUUAUUUAUAGUGGUGGAUAACUUAGAUGUACAUUAUGGUUAUACUUCAGAUUUUUUUCAAUAUGGGGUGGAAAAACCUAGAGGCACUAAAAGGAGAAUCUGAUUGGUAGUAAUGUUAGGACGUGUCAGAAAGAAAAUUGUUAAGCACAACUGCACAAGUGAUACCUGGUGGCGCAAAUGGGAUGGCCGGUGACUACCCAAAUUUCUCGAUAGUGUUUAUGCCUACGCAAGCAAUGGUUGGAGCUUUGUAGGCAUCCUAGCAAUUUCUAGCUCCGCCAAUGGUUGGUGAAUUCUUGUUCCAAAUUGAAAAAAGGUAGGAGCCACUAAGAAGGUAAUUUUACACUCAAUUAUACUAGUAUAAAAAAAAAGAAGAAGCUUUACCACUAUUGACAUUUGACAAGUACAAUUACAUGGGCGGUCUACCUUUACAGCCUUUACAUGCCACACCAGCUAUUUUUGUACCCUCAU
rnacentral:lncRNA from 1 species